UCUCUUCCUCAGGUCUGAAGCAAUACUGAAGUACUGGAGUAUUGCUUCAGACCUGAGGAAGAGAG